AAAUUUUAAGAUAUUUAUAUAUUAAAAACUGGAAUGAUCCAAAGAUUAGCAUGGCCUCUGCACAAGGAGACACUCAAAUCAUGAAGCAAUCCAUAUUUUA
ensembl:snRNA U6 U6 spliceosomal RNA